UGCCUCCUGAUUUCCCAUCUUGACGGGAUGGAGCGAUGGCUGUCGUCCUCUCUUCUCAAGUCAUGCCUAGAAGACCUCUUUCUCUCUCGGGAGAUGAUGCCUCUGGCUAAGGAAGUCUCAGCUCGUCAGUCCUUGUUGUUUUCCGGUGACGAAGGCAGUAAUGUUGGCGCUGAUGCAGUAGAAACGCACAGCACGCUCCUGCUCCUACCCAUUUUUGACUUACCCUCCCCCUUCCUUCUGUUGGCUUGCCGAAAGGAUGACGCCAGCUCUAUGUUCUCCCUGGAGCUCUGACGGAGGCAGACCUAACGGAUUGUGCAGCAACUGGAGUGGGAACAAAGCUCAGUCCUCGGCGGUGUCACUUGCCACUGCCUGUGAAAAUUUGUUCCCUCUGUGUCGGGAGCGCGCAUUGCAGCCAGAGAGGUGGAUCUGACCAUUUUCACGUUGCUUCUGAUCAAUUUCUCGGUAAAACAACUCAUAUAAUCAUGUCAAGGUUGUAACAUUCAGUUUAAUUGGCAGCUGUUGUUUAAAAAAAUUGUAAUAUAAAUAAAUAAAGGAGAUCUUC